GUUUGAUCCUGGCUCAGGAUGAACGCUGGCUGUGUGCCUAAUACAUGCAUGUCGAACGAAGUACUUGUACUUAGUGGCAAAUGGGUGAGUAACACGUACCUAACUUGCCUUUUAGAUUGGGACAACCACGGGAAACUGUGGCUAAUACCAAAUAUGUAUAAUUAACAUAUGUUUUUUAUAUGAAAGGAAGCGAUUGCUUUGCUAAAAGAUAGGGGUGCGCUACAUUAGCUUGUUGGUAGGGUAAAAGCCUACCAAGGCUAUGAUGUAUAGUGGGAUCGAGAGGUUGAACCACCACACUGGGAUUGAGAUACGGCCCAGACUCCUACGGGAGGCAGCAGUAGGGAAUAUUCCACAAUGAGCGAAAGCUUGAUGGAGCGACACAGCGUGUAGGAUGAAUGCCUUAGGGUUGUAAACUACUGUUAUAAGAGAAGAAUAGCUAAAAAAGGAAAUGUUUUUAGUCUGACGGUAUCUUAUCAGAAAGCAGUUGCAAACUAUGUGCCAGCAGCAGCGGUAAUACAUAGACUGCAAGCGUUAUCCGGAAUUAUUGGGCGUAAAGCAUUCGUAGGUUGUUUAUUAAGUUUGGUGUUAAAAACAAAAGCUCAACUUUUGUUUGCAUUAAAUACUAAUAGACUAGAGUUAUAAAGAGGNUUAAUGGAACUCCAUAUGAAGCGGUGGAAUGCGUAGAUAUGUGGAAGAACACCAAUGGCGAAGGCAAUUAACUGGAUAUACACUGACACUGAGGGAUGAAAGCGUGGGGAGCAAACAGGAUUAGAUACCCUGGUAGUCCACGCUGUAAACGAUGUUUGUUAAUCGGUGGUGAAAUCACUGAUACAGCUAACGCAAUAAACAAACCGCCUGAGUAGUAUGCUCGCAAGAGUGAAACUUAAAGGAAUUGACGGGGAGCCGCACAAGCGGUGGAGCAUGUGGUUUAAUUCGAAGAUACGCGAAGCACCUUACCAACAUUUGACAUCUUUUGCAAAGGCAUAGAGAUAUGCUGGAGGAUAACAAAAAGACAGGUGGUGCAUGGCCGUCGUCAGCUCGUGCCGUGAGGUGUUGGGUUAAGUCCUAUAACGAGCGCAACCCUUUUCUUUAGUUACUAACAUUUAGUUGAGCACUCUAAAGAUACUGCCUAGGUAACUAGGAGGAAGGAGGGGAUGAGGUAGGUCAUCAUGCCUCUUACAUGUUGGGUUACACACGUGCUACAAUGGCAAAUACAAAGAGAAGCAAAAUCGUGAGGUGGAGCAAAUCUGUAAAAUUUGUCUCAGUUCGGAUUGGAGUCUGCAACUCGACUCCAUGAAGUAGGAAUCGCUAGUAAUCCUAGAUCAUCAAUGCUAGGGUGAAUACGUUCUCGGCUCUUGUACACACCGCCCGUCAAACCAUGGGAGUUGGUAAUACCCAAAGCUAGUUAGUUAACCAUUUAUUUGGAGGCAACUAUCUAAGGUAGGAUCAAUGACUGGGGUUAAGUCGUAACAAGGUAACC
rnacentral:rRNA from 1 species